UGACACAGCCAUAUCACCCUGCAGCCCAAAACUAGUUACUGACUGAAGCUAAGUAGGGCUGAGUGUGGUCAGUACCUGGAUGGGAGACCACAUGGGAAAACUAGCUUGCUGUUUAAA
rnacentral:rRNA from 1 species